UGUGAUUGGUUCUCAGCUGACCGGGAGAAACAGAAGUAAACAAAAGCCCGCUCUGAAACGUAGCUGGAAUCCGUGUUUCUGUGUAAAAAAAUUGUUAGAUAUCAAAAUUUAAGCCUAUUCAAGCUCAUUAUAAUUAGGGUUUUACUCAAAAAAAUUAUGAAUUAAUUUGUAAUAGUCCAUCGUCAUGACGAUUCUUGAGAAGAAGACAGUUCAGCUUUUGCUUUUCGUUGUUGGAGUAAUUACCCUCAAAUUCACUGCUGAAAAAUGUAGGGAAUUGGUUGGUGGAGAGGCUGCAUCCAAAAGUAGCUGUUUUGAUGGGGGUUAUGGAACCCUUUCAUGCAUGGCGAAGGAGGGUGUAAAACUUUAUGUCUACAACAUCAGAUCUAUCCAUGUAGAGAGUGUGAGGAACAAGGCAAUUGAGACAGCUCUAUCUGAUGCAUUAACACAAGGCAUGCCUACCAAAGAUGCAGUCAAACUAGCCCAGAAAGAAGGAGCUAAAGCAGCAAAACUGGCUACUCAGAAAGCCAAGCGCAUCAUAGGUCCCAUCGUUUCUUCAGGAUGGGAUUUUUUUGAAGUCUUUUACUACGGGGGUACAAUAACAGAAGGGUUCCUUCGGGGCAUGGGGACAUUAUUUGGCACCUACUCUGUGGGCUACGUUGGAGAGCAAAGAUUUGGGCGGUUUGGUUAUUUGGUCGGAAGUCAUCUGGGCAGCUGGGUUGGAGGACAAAUUGGGCUGAUGUUGUAUGACGUGAUCAAUGGAGUUGAGUACAUGCUGCUGUUUUUACAACUGGACGAACCUAAAGUUUAUGACAAUGCGUCAAUGAUGUUUCCUACAUAAAUGAAAUGCCGACUCAUACUUCUGAUGAGUCCAAUGAUUAGAAAUUCCUGCUUACAAGAGCCCUGUGACACGCACGAAGAAUUUUAGAUCAGGAUCUAGGAAAUUUGUUCAGAAUGGACAAAUCAAUGGUGAAACUGACAACAAUCAAGUUCCUAAAUGGAUGCAAUCCUACAAAUUCUGUGCAAGAUGAUGAGUCGAGAAGGGGUUGAUAACUGGAGUUUGGAAAGAGUUAUAACCAACAAAAGCUUUGCACUGGUGAGUUGAUUUUAGUUGUCCUAAGUUCAAUAUUUUCUUCGUAUCAUGUCUUUAGAAGCUAAGCCAACUUCAGUGUACAUUGUCCCAAGUUACUGGUGCCAUUGGGUAAUUAUAAAGGAGAUGGAAACAAACUGAUACUAUUGUCUUCUUGAAGAUUAAUGAUAUUGUUUUCGUUACUGGUUAAUAUA